UACAGAGGUCUCGAGCGUUAGGCGGAAUCACUGGGCUUAAAGCGUGUGUAGGCGGAUCGUUAAGUGCCUUGUGAAAUCCCACGGCUCAACCGUGGAACUGCUUGGCAUACUGGCGGUCUUGAGCAACCUAGGGGCGAGCGGAACAAAUGGUGGAGCGGUGAAAUGCGUAGAUAUCAUUUGGAACGCCAAUGGUGAAAACAGCUCGCUGGGGGUUUGCUGACGCUGAUGCGCGAAAGCCAGGGGAGCGAACGGG
rnacentral:rRNA from 1 species